UACGUAGGUGGCAAGCGUUGUCCGGAAUUAUUGGGCGUAAAGCGCGCGCAGGCGGUCCUUUAAGUCUGAUGUGAAAGUCCACGGCUCAACCGUGGAGGGUCAUUGGAAACUGGGGGACUUGAGUGCAGAAGAGGAAAGCGGAAUUCCACGUGUAGCGGUGAAAUGCGUAGAGAUGUGGAGGAACACCAGUGGCGAAGGCGGCUUUCUGGUCUGUAACUGACGCUGAGGCGCGAAAGCGUGAGGAGCAAACAGG
rnacentral:rRNA from 1 species